rnacentral:lncRNA from 1 species
ACCCGCGGCGGCGCAGCCGCUCCCGGAAACAGCCCCGCUCCGGAGAGGCGGGGGGAGGGAGGCGGAGGAACAGCCGGGGCUCGCCUUCCUAUUGGUGGAGGCGCGCGGCGGGCGGCGGCGGCGAUUGGCUGGCGGGGAGUGUCAGUCGGGGGGGGAGGCCCGCUCCGUUGCCGGGCAACCGGGCCGGGCUGCUCCGCCUACCGCCGCCACCGCCGCUGCUGCUGCUGCUGCUCGGGCCGAGCUCGCCCCGGCCGGCGGGGGCUGGUCCUGCUCCUCUGCUGCACGCUGUGCUGCACGCUCUGCACACCGAGGAGGAAGAGGAGGAGGAGGAGGAGGGAUGCUGAGGUCGGGGAUGGGGACGGCGACCCCGGGAGCGGCAGCAUCAGCCCCCGGAGUCCCGCUGCAUCGACCCCGCUGCCCGCCCAACUGACAGAAUUGGCUCUGUGAUGAAUUCUUCACCUUGGACACCUGCAGAAUUUUAUUCAGAAUUCAUUUUAUGAAGUUCAAGACAAAGACAUAUGGUACAGUAUUACAGGAACUAAUGUUGGCUUUAUUCUAU